rnacentral:rRNA from 1 species
GAUGAACGCUGGUGGCGUGCCUAAUACAUGCAAGUCGAGCGAACAGACGAGGAGCUUGCUCCUCUGACGUUAGCGGCGGACGGGUAAGUAACACGUGGAUAACCUACCUAUAAGACUGGGAUAACUUCGGGAAACCGGAGCUAAUACCGGAUAAUAUAUUGAACCGCAUGGUUCAAUAGUGAAAGACGGUUUUGCUGUCACUUAUAGAUGGAUCCGCGCCGCAUUAGCUAGUUGGUAAGGUAACGGCUUACCAAGGCAACGAUGCGUAGCCGACCUGAGAGGGUGAUCGGCCACACUGGAACUGAGACACGGUCCAGACUCCUACGGGAGGCAGCAGUAGGGAAUCUUCCGCAAUGGGCGAAAGCCUGACGGAGCAACGCCGCGUGAGUGAUGAAGGUCUUCGGAUCGUAAAACUCUGUUAUUAGGGAAGAACAAAUGUGUAAGUAACUAUGCACGUCUUGACGGUACCUAAUCAGAAAGCCACGGCUAACUACGUG